rnacentral:rRNA from 1 species
UACGGGGGGGGGCAAGCGUUGUUCGGAAUUACUGGGCGUAAAGAGCGCGCAGGCGGUCGUCCAAGUCGCGUGUGGAAGCCCCCGGCUCAACUGGGGAGGGUCACGCGAUACUGGUCGACUCGAAGGCAGGAGAGGGUAGUGGAAUUCCCGGUGUAGUGGUGAAAUGCGUAGAUAUCGGGAGGAACACCAGUGGCGAAGGCGACUACCUGGCCUGUUCUUGACGCUGAGGCGCGAAAGCUAGGGGAGCAAACGGG